AGCAUUAUGGCCACGGACGUAGUACUUGUUUUACUAAUUGGAAAAUUUUAUCAACUACUAAACAUUUUAAGAGAAAUACGUAUAUUUCAAAAAACAUUUGACAAAGAGAAAGAAAAAAUGACAUAGCUAAUUUGAAUAGGUGGGAUGAGUAUAAAUACAUGUCUAAAACAAUCUCACUCUCAGUCUCAUCACUUCUCUUCAAUUAUAAUCGCCAAUUGUCAUUGUGAUCAGAAACAUGGUGAUUUCACCCUUAUAACCGGAUUAAGUGACCUGAUAAAUAUGUUUGAGAACCUUAAAGAUGGAGAUCUUGUGCAUACUCUCUUAUCGUGCUUUUGUUUUCACCUAUAACUUUCUCCAAGAAUGUCUAACUUGUUGCUGCCGAAAAAAAACAAUUACAGAAAACCAGAGACAAUUCAGGGCCGGUCCAAAGUUUCAAAAUUUUCUUUGAUACCCUACGCAUAACUAAAAAUUUAGGCAUUUUUGUUAAUGUAAAAAAAAAAAUUCUCCCAAAAAAAAUAUUUUAUAAUGUGAGACCCUAAGCGAUGGCUUCACUUGCUUGCCCUCCGGACCGGCUCAGAGUUAGUGAGAUAUAAAAAAGAGAAAGAUAAAUAUCUUUUUGCAACAGAGAACAAAGAAAUACGAAAAUUUUAGAGAACAAAAAUGAAAUCGCUGGUUUUUUGUACUUUGACAAACUCAAACAGUCUCAACCACUUGAUCAUCAUAUAUGUGACCAACAAUUAGUGAAAAGAAAACCAAAGGAAAAUUAAAUGACAGUUACCUUGGAUUAAUCACAAUCUAACAAUUUAGUAUUCACGAUUUGCUUCGUGGAAUUGUUCUUUUCCCGAAAAUGUUUCCCACAAAACCCUGAUAUUGAAGCUCAUGUUCGAUGUGCCCAACUUCUAUAAAAUAUCAAUAUCACAAAUUGUAAAAUUCACAACUUAUACAUCAAAAUUAAGACCCAAAACAGAAUAUGCAAAACGAAAAGAUAUACAAUCUUGAAAUAUUACAAAUUUGAUACCUAAAACAUAUAUGCAGCGCCAGUGUUUGAUUUCAAAAACCAGAAUCACUCUCGUUCUCGUGUUUCAUCAUCGCGGUCCGCAAUUCACUAUGUUCUCUUGUUCAGUAUCACCAUUUUCUUGUUCUCCUCUUCAUCUGUAAUUGAUAAGGAAUUCUGAUUUGAGAAGGAAAAGUGGACCAAAAAGUGGUAGAAUGGUAUAUCUAACAUGGCGUGCAGUUGGUCGCCGAGAAAGUAACCGGUCGGAGGUGAGAAAUUUAAAAAACUAUAAUUCACAAAGAAAAAUGAAACCGUAUAAAUAAGGUGACCAAUCAACUGCAAGAAGGAAACGGUUUCAUAUUUUCUUUGCAAACUAAUUUGCUAUUGUAGUCAUGGAAAUCGUGGGGAAGGCGGCGGCGAGUAAGAGGGAAAGAUAUUAGGGUUGUAAAU
rnacentral:lncRNA from 1 species